rnacentral:tRNA from 1 species
UGGGCUAUAGCUCAGCUGGGAGAGCGCCCUGCUUUGCACGCAGGAGGUCUGCGGUUCGAUCCCGCAUAGCUCCACCA